AGCCCAGUCCUUUUAUGGGGUCCUGGAAAAACGGUGGGUGACUGAGUUAAAAAGCACAGAACACCCGCUGUCAACACUCCGUGACCUUCCUUGGCUCAUCAGUUCUCCUAAGGACAAGAACUUUCCGGACUGUGUUUUCUGGUUCUCAUCCUGGCUAUCCGGGUGUUGUUGCCCGACACCUUUGGUAAAGGAAAGGCAAUGCCCAGGUCACCUUCGCUGGAAGCAGCCUCAGCACCCAGACGUUCUCUUCAAGGGGGUCUCUUAUUCCAAGGCCUUUGUGGAUCCAAAGAAACACCUUUUUUCCUCAGAGGCUAGACAUUUCCUUUUAUCCCUCGACUGAUUCUUCAUUUCAGCCAUGUUAGGAAGGCUUCCUUGUCUCAGUUGGAGACUAGGAGCCGCUUCAAAGACAAACAGCUAAAGAACAAAAGCAGGAGAUGGGCCAGCUGGGUGUGCGAGAGUCCACUCACAGGGGGGGGGGUUGUUAAUUUGAUGGGGGCAAUGUUAAUGCAUUGUUUGUUCUUAUUUGGGUUUCACUGCUGAAGGUUUGAAAGCCAGCCUCUUGAAUGCAUUUGCAUGUGGGAACAUCUCAGAGCAGACCUCUGGUUUCACCAACCUCCCAGAACUGUGUAUUUUGACUUGUGUGGCACUCCUUAAGAUACUCUGCACCCUUCUAGCUCAAAGGAAGCCUGCAUAACUGUUUCCCAAGUCCUGCUGGCUCAGCCUAGCUCCAAUCUUCUUGAAGCUCAGUGCUGUCUGGGGAAGGAGUUCUGGCUAAUGGAGGGUGUCUGGCCAAGAUGCAUCCCAUUGAUGACCUACUGAGCUUCCUGGACAAAUCUUCAAUGUCCCUGCUGGGUAUGAGCACCCGGGACAAUCUUAGAAGGCACAUACAGAAGAUGCUUCCGGAACCUCCAUCAGCCUGGAUCCCAAGGGAUGAAUAGAGCCCCUCCUUCAGUGCCAGGCCACAAACACAGCAGCAUUGACAAGACAACAGCGUUUGCUGCCAUGGUAAUGAAUACUUCUGACACAGGCCAGGGAUCUGAUUCUGAGCAGAAGCUCAACUACUUACAAAAA